CAGAAAACAAAACCAGGAUGACCAUAAAUGUUUCUUCUCCAAUUGGAUGAUGAUAAGACUGUGACACGGGAUGCCACCUUUAGUCUUGUGAUGAAGCAAAGCUCAGGAAGAAGUGUGAUUAAAUGGUACCCACAUGUGUGCUGCUGAGAAGGAUGUACAGGGGCACCUGCAGCCAAAUCCAAGCCUCCUCAGCUGGAGAGGAAACUACACCAGUGUACUGGGAUGUUUCACCAACACGUGCCAGACGCUGUUCCUUCAUGGUGACAUCACCAGAGACGGCCCCGCCCACCUCAGGACCUCGCCAUUGAUCAUGAUGAUUUUAAUGAUGACAGCGAGCGGAACUAAGACUGUAAAAAUCAGAAUGUUUAGAUGCUUUCUAAUUAUUCAUGAAUACUGAGAGCCUCUUUCUGUGUUUUGUCUGUUUUGUUUUUUACCUCAUUUGUUACUAACAAAGUUCACCAAACUCACACAGUUUACAUUCUGUAUGUUUCCAUCUUUACCAGCCACAGUCUACCCGC
ensembl:lncRNA